rnacentral:rRNA from 1 species
AUUGAACGCUGGCGGCAUGCUUUACACAUGCAAGUCGAACGGUAACAGGCCGCAAGGUGCUGACGAGUGGCGAACGGGUGAGUAAUGCAUCGGAACGUGCCCAGUCGUGGGGGAUAACGCAGCGAAAGCUGUGCUAAUACCGCAUACGAUCUAUGGAUGAAAGCGGGGGACCGUAAGGCCUCGUGCGAUUGGAGCGGCCGAUGUCAGAUUAGGUAGUUGGCGGGGUAAAGGCUCACCAAGCCAACGAUCUGUAGCUGGUCUGAGAGGACGACCAGCCACACUGGGACUGAGACACGGCCCUGACUCCUACGGGAGGCAGCAGUGGGGAAUUCUGGACAAUGGGCGCAAGCCUGAUCCAGCAAUGCCGCGUGCAGGAAGAAGGCCUUCGGGUUGUAAACUGCUUUUGUACGGAACGAAAAGGUUUGGGUUAAUACCCUGGGCCGAUGACGGUACCGUAAGAAUAAGCACCGGCUAACUACGUGCCAGCCGCCGCCGUAA